rnacentral:rRNA from 1 species
UACAGAGGGCGCGAGCGUUAAUCGGAAUUACUGGGCGUAAAGCGUGCGUAGACGGUAGCGUAAGUCAGAUGUGAAAGCCCCGGGCUCAACCUGGGAACUGCAUUUGAGACUGCUCUGCUCGGGUGCGGAAGAGGGAAGCGGAAUUUCCGGUGUAGCGGUGAAAUGCGUUGAGAUCGGAAGGAACGCCCGUGGCGAAAGCGGGCCCCUGGACGUCCACUGACGCUGAGACGCGAAAGCGUGGGGAGCGAACAGG